UCUGCAAACAUGCAGAAUCACUGUUUGUUAGAUUUCUUCCGUUUUACAAAACCUUUUUGAGCAAACUCAACUGUGGGUGAAAGCCCUCUCCAGUACCUUAAUUUUGGCGUUGGUUUUACUUCAAAUGACCUCCUGAAAUUGAGAUGGUUCACAGAUCAAGAUCUGGUCAGAUCUGAGUUUGUCGAAUUAAACCAGGAGCUUGGAAACGAAUUUUUGAAUGAAACCAAUUGGGGGAUACUUAGUUUGUGCCAUGGUGAUACCUAGAGAGGCAAUUGCUAAGUCGUGGCACUCUCAUACCUUUACUAGAUUGCGAACGAUUCCGGAGAAGAUGAAGAAGUGGAUCGGAGAAGGAUUUUAUUUAUAUUGUUGGGAUUCUUACAUUGAUGGAGUUGAAGAAGUACAGGGACAAAUAAGCCAAGGCAAGCCAUCUUUUGAUCUCUUGCUAUUUAUCCUUCUUGUUGUGCUCAUUGCUCCAUUAUAUACUUGGUUCCUUGUAUCAUGUGUGAUUUUGGUCCUCUACUCUAUGCAUACUUAUUCCCAAAGUAUGUUGAACCCCUGGUUGAUGCUUUGCAUACUUGCUCCCAAGUAUGUGAACCCCCUUGUUGAUGUUAUGCAUGCUUACCCUAAGCAUGUAUGCCCCCUUGACCAUAUCCAUGUUGUCAUCUUCUUAGUGGUAUGAUGAUUAACAUCAUGACCCCUGUUUGAAUCAUCUUAAUUAUGUUGUACCUAUACAUG